CUCUGGUCGUGGAAGAAUCAGGGCAGAAAGAG
rnacentral:ncRNA from 1 species